rnacentral:rRNA from 1 species
UACAGAGGGGGCAAGCGUUGUUCGGAAUUACUGGGCGUAAAGGGCGCGUAGGCGGCCUUCUAAGUCGAACGUGAAAUCCCCGGGCUCAACCCGGGAACUGCGUCUGAUACUGGGAGGCUUGAGUGCGGGAGAGGGAUGUGGAAUUCCAGGUGUAGCGGUGAAAUGCGUAGAUAUCUGGAGGAAUACCGGUGGCGAAGGCGGCAUCCUGGACCGGCAUUGACGCUGAGGAGCGAAAGCUAGGGGAGCAAACGGG